rnacentral:rRNA from 1 species
AGAGUUUGAUCCUGGCUCAGAACGAACGCUGGCGGCGUGCUUAAUACAUGCAAGUCGUGCGAGAAAGUUUCCUUCGGGAAAUGAGUAAAGCGGCAAACGGGUGAGUAACACGUAAGCAAUCUGCCCCUAAGUCUGGAAUAACCUUGCCAACGCGGGGAUAAUACCGGAUGUGAUCACGAGGUCGCAUGGCCAUGUGAUCAAAGAUGACCUCUACUUGUAAGUUAUCGCUUGGGGAUGAGCUUGCGCACCAUUAGCUUGUUGGUAGGGUAACGGCCUACCAAGGCUACGAUGGUUAGCCGGCCUGAGAGGGUGACCGGCCACAUUGGGACUGAGAUACGGCCCAGACUCCUACGGGAGGCAGCAGUAGGGAAUUUUGCGCAAUGGACGCAAGUCUGACGCAGCAACGCCGCGUGAGGGAUGAAGGGUUUCGGCUCGUAAACCUCUGUUGAGUGGGAAGAAACGUUUUGUGGUUAAUACCCAUAAGAUCUGACGGUACCACUUGAGGAAGCUCCGGCUAACUACGUGCCAGCAGCCGCGGUAAUACGUAGGGGGCUAGCGUUGUUCGGAAUCACUGGGCGUAAAGGGAGCGUAGGCGGAAGAGUAAGUCGGAAGUCUAAUCCACGGGCUCAACCCGUGUCCGGCUUUUGAUACUGCUUUUCUUGAGUAUGGGAGAGGACGAUGGAAUUCCAGGUGUAGCGGUGGAAUGCGUAGAUAUCUGGAAGAACACCAGUUGCGAAGGCGGUCGUCUGGCCCAAUACUGACGCUGAGGCUCGAAAGCUAGGGGAGCGAACAGGAUUAGAUACCCUGGUAGUCCUAGCCAUAAACGAUGGACACUAGUUGGUGGUGGGGGUCAAUCCCUUCACUGACGGAGUUAACGCAUUAAGUGUCCCGCCUGGGGAGUACGCUCGCAAGGGUGAAACUCAAAGGAAUUGACGGGGGCCCGCACAAGCGGUGGAGCAUGUGCUUUAAUUCGAUCCACGCGAAGAACCUUACCUGGGCUUGACAUGGGAGUGUAAGUUUCCAGAGAUGGAUUCCCUUCCGCAAGGAACACUCCACACAGGUGCUGCAUGGUUGUCGUCUGCUCGUGUCGUGAGAUGUUGGGUUAAGUCCCGCAACGAGCGCAACCCCCGUCCUUAGUUGCCAUCAGGUAACGCUGGGAACUCUAAGGAGACUGCCUGGUCACAACCAGGAGGAAGGUGGGGAUGACGUCAAAUCAUCAUGGCCCUUACGUCCAGGGCUAGACACGUGCUACAAUGAUCGGUACAAUGGGCUGCGACACUGCGAGGUGAAGCAAAUCCCCUAAAACCGACCUCAGUUCAGAUUGGAGUCUGCAAUUCGACUCCAUGAAGGUGGAAUCGCUAGUAAUCGCGGAUCAGCAUGCCGCGGUGAAUACGUUCCCGGGCCUUGUACACACCGCCCGUCAAGCCAUGAAAGGUGGGAGUACCCGAAGUCAUAGCCCUAACCGCAAGGAGGGGCGUGCCGAAGGUAAGACUACUGAUUGGGGCUAAGUCGUAACAAGGUA